UAAGAUAAAUAUUAUUAAACAUGGCUUCUAACCAUGUGACGAGAGAUAUUUCUUUCUAUCUUAC
rnacentral:tRNA from 1 species